UUCCUAGAGACACGGACCCUGGUUUUGUUUUGCUCACCCGCCGUCGUGCGUGCGCAGGGCUACAUCUAGCACAUAGAAGACUCUCCGCGCAUAAUCGUUGAAUGAGUAGACAUGCCCGGGGGCAAUACCAAACAGUGACGGGCACCCUGGAUGCUGCCUCCUCCAAGGAGAAUUCCUGGGAUAACAGAGAGUCUAUUCAUGUCUGUCAGGCAGGCUUGGAUCUUUCUAAUUUUCCACUGGCCCAGGAGUGUCGGAGCAGAGCCAAAAAGUACACGGGGGCAGGAAAGGCUGCGGUCAGAGGCAGACCCUGUUAGCCUUGGCCCCAUCUGCCAGGGUCUGCUGGUUUUCAUUACAGCCCUAGUACACCAGAAGAUACCGUGUGACUGCGGGCACGCUUCAGCAAGCCCAUCCCUCCGGAUCCCCCGCACCGUGCGUCCCUCUCAACUCUUAAAUAUCCUUUUGAAGCCCAUAUGUUCAGUCCACCCCAACUUCUGUUUAUACUGGUGCAGAGCGAGGGGCUGCUCGGAUUCUGGGAGUUGCACGGGAAGGUAUUAAAUGUGUUUUGAAAAUA
rnacentral:lncRNA from 1 species